AUUGAACGCUGGCGGCAGGCCUAACACAUGCAAGUCGAGCGCGCGGCGGACGGGUGAGUAAUGUAUGGGGACUGCCCGAUAGAGGGGGAUAACCACUGUAAACAGGGGCUAAUACAGCAUACUGUCGGGUAACCCAUAUGGGAUUAGCUAUUAGGUAAGGUAAUGGCUUACCUAGGCGACGAUCCCUAGCUGGUCUGAGAGGAUGAUCAGCCACACUGGGACUGAGACACGGUCCAGACUCCUACGGAGGCAGCAGUGGGGAAUAUUGCACAAUGGGCGCAAGCCUGAUGCAGCCAUGCCGCGUGUAUGAAGAAGGCCCUAGGGUUGUAAAGUACUUUCAGUCGGGAGGCGUUACCGACAGAAGAAGCACCGGCUAACUCCGUGCCAGCAGCCGCGGUAAUAC
rnacentral:rRNA from 1 species